rnacentral:rRNA from 1 species
UAACCUGCCCAAGAGAUCGGGAUAACACCUGGAAACAGAUGCUAAUACCGGAUAACAACAGAUGAUGCCUAUCAACUGUUUAAAAGAUGGUUCUGCUAUCACUCUUGGAUGGACCUGCGGUGCAUUAGCUAGUUGGUAGGGUAACGGCCUACCAAGGCGAUGAUGCAUAGCCGAGUUGAGAGACUGAUCGGCCACAUUGGGACUGAGACAAGGCCCAAACUCCUACGGGAGGCAGCAGCC